rnacentral:rRNA from 1 species
UACGUAGGGUGCAAGCGUUAAUCGGAAUUACUGGGCGUAAAGCGUGCGCAGGCGGUUAUGUAAGACAGAUGUGAAAUGCCCGGGCUUAACCUGGGAACUGCAUUUUGUGACUGCAUGGCUAGAGUUUGGCAGAGGGGGGUAGAAUUCACGUGUAGCAGUGAAAUGCGUAGAUAUGUGGAGGAACACCGAUGGCGAAGGCAGCCCCCUGGGUCAAGACUGACGCUCAUGCA